CUACGGGUUGCAGCAGUAACGAAUAUUGCGCAAUGGACGAAAGUCUGACGCAGCGACGCCGCGUGCAGGACGAAGCCCCUCGGGGUGUAAACUGCUGUUAGGGUGAAGAAAGAUCUGAUCGAUCCCAAAGAAAGCCACGGCUAACUUCGUGCCAGCAGCCGCGGUAAUACGAAGGUGGCAAGCGUUGUUCGGAAUCACUGGGCUUAAAGCGCGCGUAGGCGGAAUAUUAAGUGUCUUGUGAAAUCCCCCGGCUCAACCGGGGAACUGCAGGACAUACUGAUAUUCUUGAGGCAAUCAGGGGUGCAUGGAACUCUGGGUGGAGCGGUGAAAUGCGUAGAUAUCCAGAGGAACGCCUGUGGAGAAAUCGGUGCACUGGGAUUGUUCUGACGCUGAGGUGCGAAAGCGUGGGUAGCGAACGGGAUUAGAUACCCGUGUAGUC
rnacentral:rRNA from 1 species